UACGGGGGGAGCAAGCGUUGUUCGGAUUUACUGGGCGUAAAGGGCGCGUAGGCGGCCAGCACAAGUCAGUUGUGAAAUCUCCGAGCUUAACCCGGAAAGGUCAGCCGAUACUGCGGGGCUAGAGUGCAGAAGGGGCAACUGGAAUUCUCGGUGUAGCGGUGAAAUGCGUAGAUAUCGAGAGGAACACCUGCGGCGAAGGCGGGUUGCUGGGCUGACACUGACGCUGAAGCGCGAAAGCGUGGGGAGCGAACAGG
rnacentral:rRNA from 1 species